UUUAAGUUGUUUUUAUUAUACAAGUUGUAUAUAGCCUCAUUAAACAGUAAUAUAAAACAUCAAAAAAUCGUUGUCCAUUUCGCGACGCCCUUUGCGGACCGGCGACUUAUGGCUUACGGACCGGCACCGGUCCGCGGACCACCACUUUGGCGAGCACUGACGUAGAGUAUAAUAAUAAAAUAUACUCA